UUUGGUUGGGACUCCUGCACGGGGAUCUUAUGUACAUGCCACAAAGGUGCCCUGGAGGGUGCACAACGGAGCCAUGCCCAAUCAAUGUGCAGUGGUGGGUGGUUGCUAGGUCGUUUGUUGACAGAUGUUUGUGAAGGUGGUAGGUGUUAGAAGUGAAGGUAAUUUCUAAUUGCUCAGUUCUGCUUGUUAUGCAACGAAAUGUCUUUCUCAGGAAACGACUACAGUCUCUUGGGCCUCUCUGUCGGCAGAGCCAAGGACGAGAAGUCAAGAGAGGAGAAGAAGUCGAGUGCGUCGUCCACUCUGGCGAGUCGCAUGGCUAAGAAAAUCUCUUCAGUCCUGAGGCUCCGGCGUUCUACGUCGUGCUCUAGGAGGAAUUCGUCGGCUAUGGUAUUUAACAACUCAACGUCGUACUCAGAUGUCGACGAAUCCCAAUGCAAGUACUUCACUGGUGAAUCAGAGCGGUUUUGUCCAGACAUAAGUGCUUCGCGGAGGCAUGGUGACUCUCAGAAUAAUCGUUCACAACGAAGCGCAAGUCUGCGAAUCCAUGUCUAACUCGAGGUUAAGAGUCAGUUUCAGUUAUUUUUCGAGACCAGGCAUUAUGAUAUACUGGCAAAUAUGUAAUAGCACGUGAUCCCAGUACUUCUACGAAUACAGCACAUUUCCGGAUGCAACUGCACGUGAUUAUCCGCAGUGUAAAACAUAAAGGAGAGCAUUUUUGUAAUAACACGUGGUCCUUAAUGGCGCUUUUGGAUUGCUGAAGCAGGCGGUUUCUGAUGAUUCCUUCAGAUACGAAAUUCCUCCCACGAGGAAUUAUGGAUUAUCACCUUGGGGUUCAAAUGAUACGACACAGUUCUUUUGUUGCAUGACAUUGUUCUACAUUAUAUUCCUCCUCCGAGGAGCAUUCAUCCCCAGAAAGUUAAUAAGGCAUCUUCAAAAUGUUCUAUUUGAAGAAGGCUCGUAACAGUAGCCAGCAAGCGUGGGCAUUUUCUACGAGAAACUAAGUACUGUCGCUAGCUGUCUAGCGUUGCACGACUUUACACGAGGUAGUCGAGUCUUCCAUCGAAGGCUUGUACCUCAAAAGAAUGAAUCAAUGGGUUGCGAGACGGUGUAGGGCAGAUUGAAAGAUAUCUCAUGUAAAGGGUAGAAAAUGUAAUGGGGUGUACCGUACUUAAGUAAUCUUUGUUCAUGAAAAGGUCCAAAUUUGCUGAUUCUCUAAAUGCUCUUUGCUGAAAGUGCAGCCCAAGGGCCUCAAUUGUUAGACUAUUGUAUUUACUCUUCAUUUAUAGACUACCCCAUGGAAGGUAUAUGUUGAUCCUU